rnacentral:lncRNA from 1 species
UAACUCAAAGCUUGGACAAAAAAUACAAAAUCACUACAACAAAAACGAUCUAUAGCGACACUUUUAAAUAUCGAUACAGAUAAAAAAAAGUGCUACUGAUCAAAUUACCGACACUUUUAAAAAGUGUUGCUAUAUGUGGGGUCGUUAGGUAUAUAAUGACAGUUAAAGAGUGUCGCUAUAACCUAAAAAGAGUGCUGCUAAUUUACCAAUACUUAUUUAAGCAUUUAGCAACCGCCGAAACUCUAUUUUGUUGGCUGCGGUGGUGGAGGAGGGUGAGAGGGAAGGGCUCUUCGUCUAGAAUUUCAAUAGAUUGAGUAAGGGGAGAAGGGGAGAUGAUAAUCGAUUUUUUUUUUUUUUUUGUUUGUAAUCGGGCUGAAUGAGCUCUGUGGGGUGGGUUGAAUAGAGUAAUCUUUUAUUUUUGGUUGGAUUAAUCUUUAUAUUUAGGCAUUAGUAGAUUUUUUUUUUAAGUUUUGGUGUAAAUGGAAUACUUACAAAAAAAGUGUCCCAAACAUGUUAUAGUGACUUAACCAAAAA